AUUGAACGCUGGCGGCAUGCCUUACACAUGCAAGUCGAACGGCAGCACGGGUGCUUGCACCUGGUGGCGAGUGGCGAACGGGUGAGUAAUACAUCGGAACGUACCUUAUCGUGGGGGAUAACGCAGCGAAAGUUGCGCUAAUACCGCAUACGCCCUGAGGGGGAAAGCGGGGGACCGUAAGGCCUCGCGCGAGUAGAGCGGCCGAUGUCUGAGUAGCUUGUUGGUGAGGUAGAAGCUCACCAAGGCGAUGAUCAGUAGCUGGUCUGAGAGGCCGAUCAGCCACAAUGGGACUGAGACACGGCCCAGACUCCUACGGGAGGCAGCAGUGGGGAAUUUUGGACGAUGGGGGCAACCCUGAUCCAGCAAUGCCGCGUGAGUGAAGAAGGCCUUCGGGUUGUAAAGCUCUUUUGUCAGGGAAGAAACAGCAGCUCUAACACAGUCUGCGAAUGACGGUACCUGAAGAAUAAGCACCGGCUAACUACGUGCCAGCAGCCGCGGUAA
rnacentral:rRNA from 1 species